AAAAGCAUAAUAGUCGAUUGAAAGAAAGGGCAUAUGAUCAAGCAUAACAAGUAACAAGUGUUUCCAAACCACUGAUGACGGUGACUGUGGACUGCGUUGUCUGCUCUUGUGUCCUGGGGCUUUGUCCCCUGCCUUGUGCUUAGGGCACAAACUUCAGGGCAUCACCCCUCUACUUGCCUUCCAGAAGUUUCACAGUAGUAAUCAACUUAUUGGUGGUGUUUGGAGUGUGUGUGUAUGCUGCUAACUUCUACAAGGCUAACUGAAAGCUGCUCACAUGUUAUCAGCACCAGGUAUCCAUCAUGCAGGGAACCCAGAUUUGCAGAUAUAAAGAGGAUGAGCCUGUAGCAUUGCACUGACGUGUUUCAAUUAUACCCUUGCAGCGUAGACGCAAAGAUAGGCAAUGCCAAGCCCUGUACAAGUAGAAAUGGUAAGAACCACAUGGUUCUAGAAGAAAGCUCACCAAGUGCUGGGACAGUCGGAAAAGGCUCCAGAUCAGAGACAGCGCUUGCACUGGGCCUUCCGUCCAUCACAAAUGCUUGGUAAGUGUCCACUGUAUACAGGCACCAGCCAGAGUUUCGCAGACAGCAGUGAGCAAACCAGCAGCCAUGCCCCGUCGCCAUGUGUGAAAGGGGAACCAAAAGGAAGCCAGCACACAAGACCCCUCGUGACUGAGGGAAAAGCAGCACCAGAAGAGCUCGCAAGAAGUGGACUGAGCAUCUACAGUCUGCCACACACAGGUGGAGAAAGAGAGCGGAGGCUUACGGAGGAACCGCCAUCCCCACGUGAAUCAUCACAGCACGGCCAAAGAGCAGCACGUUCCAUAGAGCAGAGGGGCCAAGAGACGAGCCAGAAGGCCGGAGGAAGAGGAGACCUCUGACCUGCAGGAUCUGUACCAGGGACCACAGCAACCUCUGGGUGGAGAGCGAGGGCACAGCACUGAGGAGGCGGAAGGGUGCUACGGGAGAGCUGACCAGAGACUGCAGAGGCCUUGCAGGACUGGGAGGUGCUGGAACUUGGUGCAACCCAGGCAGCAGCUGAGACACCAGAAGGGCCACGCCCCAGGAGUCAGGGCAGCACACGAGGAGUAAGGGACAAAGUAAAUUACCUGAAGUGAAGAGCUCAUUGAAUUUUCUGAACAAUAGACAGGGCACAGCUGAAGAGAGGGUUUUUCAACUCAAAGUUCCAUCAGGAGAAAGCACCUGAAAACUCAGAAAAAAAAAAAAUCAAAAUGAGAAAAAGAUAACAAAGCAA